GGAUCCAUGCAUGAGAUGAGGGACAUGCACAACGUGAAAGGGCCAAGUGUUGCGGCAGGUUGGUGGACAACACAAUUGCAACGUGCAUGGAAGGCCCAAGACCCAUGCAGCGUGAAUUGGUGAGCAGCCCAUGUGGGCGUGAAGGGUUGGCCAAGCCCAUGGGGCCCAAGACACUUGGCGGCAACUUUUCCCCCCAUUGGCCAUUUGAAGUCCCAUGGUUGUUUGAGGUGUCAUUGGCUGCCGCUUCCUUUUGUCCUUCCCAUUUAUAUUUUAUUUGAAUGAAAUAUUGGCCACACAUUGGGUUUUCAUUAGAGGCAGCCGGCCAAAUUGUUUAUAUAUAAGGGUUUGUUUCCCUUUGUUCAUUAGGACGUGUAGAGUGAGUUGAGAGAGUGAGCUUGAGUUUGAGUGAGCG
rnacentral:misc_RNA from 1 species